rnacentral:rRNA from 1 species
UACGUAGGGGGCUAGCGUUGUCCGGAAUCAUUGGGCGUAAAGCGCGUGUAGGCGGUCCGGUAAGUCCGCUGUGAAAGUCGGGGGCUCAACCUCGAAUGCCGGUGGAUACUGUCGGACUUGAGUGACGGAAGAGGCGAGUGGAAUUCCUGGUGUAGCGGUGAAAUGCGCAGAUAUCAGGAGGAACACCAAUUGCGAAGGCAGCUCGCUGGGACGUUACUGACGCUGAGACGCGAAAGCGUGGGGAGCAAACAGG